rnacentral:tRNA from 2 species
GCCGGGUUAGCUCAGUGGUAGAGCAACCGCCUUGUAAGCGGUAGGUCAAGGGUUCAACCCCCUUACCCGGCU